UAGCAUUCACUUGUCUCCUGAUUUGGAAGACACACUGCAGAGACUAGAGUUUCUGAAACGGUAACCAUUUGACCGAAAAGUGAGGCUGCACCACAGGCCAAAUACUACCCCUGCCGGUGAUGAUUGUCUUUUUCAUCAGUAAAACAAGUUGUUCUCCCAACAUAGAUGAGUCAUUUUUUUUCACGGAUCACCAUAAAAGUCACUGUAAACCGCCACCGCAUCAUUUGGAAAAUUACAUAUUCAUUCAACAAUUGCAAGUCUAUAUUAGCAACAAGCAAAUGUGCCAGCUGAACAAGACACAGAGCAGCUGUCUUCCUAAGUGCUUAGCAGGAGAAGCUGAGAUCACAUGUGUACAAAAGAGGCACAUAAAUGUACAAGAGCCUUGAUUUAAUUGUGAGCAGCAGAAGACAAUAACCAGAGAAAAAUGCAUUGUGGCAGCUGGAGAGCAGAACCCAAACAAUAUAUGUGAGAAGAAUACUGAGUGGAAAACAACUCCUGACAAUUAAUCACAGAUGUCAAAAAAGACCCGAGAGUCUCCAUCGAAUGAGACAAAACAGGGCAUUCCAGACAGCCCAUCUUCCAGGGACUGAUGUGACUUUUUUUACAAUGUUGCAAGAUGCAGAUGCUACAUGUUCAAAGCUGCCAUCAUUAAUGGAGAGUCCAUCUGGGAUGACUUCCAUAUGUUUGAUUUUAAGGCAAACUUGAAGUAAAAAUAAAAAUCAAGCGAAAAGGAAGAAAGCUAUCAUGAAGUGGCACUCAAAUAUGCUGUGUAAUGAUUGUUCAUGUACUUUCCUAUCGUACGAAUGUUUUCGUAGAUAGGACUUGUAUGGUUGAAAAUGCGGUUAGUUGUGUUUUGAUAAAAAUCUGGUGGGUGGGGAAUAUCUAUAGAUUUGUUCACAUCCAGGAUAAAACUACUUGGAUUGGAAAAAGUGUAAGAAUAGCUGAAGCUGAUAUACAGGAAUAAGGUUUUGAGCACUUAAGAUUUCGAUAUAUGAGAUUUGAAUCCCUGUGUAUUCGAGUAUACAUUCUUGCUGAAUUAGUGUUCCCAUUUGCUUCUGAGAAGCUUCUGAUUUUUAACACUUUUAUGGCAGGUGCAACAUCAUCAGUUUCAUGGUGGAAAUGUCUUUAUCUGUUAAAUUGACUAGUCUAUAUGGGCAGGUUUGUUUCAGUUCAUCUUUGAAGAAUAUGCUAAAAUUUACAGAACAGACCAUAGAGAUGUCAUUGUAAAACCACAAAUGCUGGAGAAAGUGAAAUUGACAGAUGAUUACCAUCACUAGAUACAUUUUAGUGAAUGAGAUAAAAAAAUUAAAAUUACAACACAUAGCUAACCACCUUAAUUGUAUUUAUUUCAAUGUGAUUAAAGAAUAGAGAAAUUAUGUUUUGAAUAUGGUUUUUGUUGUUGUUUAUUCAUUCAGCUGCUUCUGAUUCUUUGUGACCUCAUGGAUCCAUCCACGCCAGAGUUCCCUGUUGGCCGUAGCCACCCCCAGUUCCUUCAAGGUUAAGCCAGUUACUUCAAGGAUAACAUCCAUCCAUCUUGCCCUUGGUCGACCCCUAUUCCUUUUUCCUUCCAUUUUCUCCAGCAUCAUUUUCAUCUCCAAGCUUUCCUGUCUUCUCAUGAUGUGACAAAAGUACUUCAUCUUUACCUCUAAUAUCCUUCCCUUCAGUGAGCAGUUGGGCUUUAUUUCCUGAAGUAUGGACUGGUUUGAUCUUCUUGCGGUCCAAGACACUCUCAGAAUUUUCCUCCAACACCACAUUUCAAAAGCGUCUAUCUUCCUUCGCUCAGCCUUCCUUAUGGUCCAGCUCUCACAUCCAUAGGUUAUCAGGUGGAAUACCAUUGCUUUAACCAUGCGGACCUUUGUUGCCAGUGUGAUGUCUCUACUAUUCACUAUUUUAUCGAGAUUUGUCAUUUCUCUCCUCCCAAGAAGCAAACGUCUUCUGAUUUCCUGGCUGCAGUCUGUGUCUGCAGUAAUCUUUGCACCUAGAAAUACAAAGUCUGAGUUUUUACUUUUUCUGAAAAAAAUAUUAGGGAAUUUGAAACAUGUUCUUAUCUCGAAUGUGUCUAUUU